UCCCUGGUGGCUCAGAUGGUAAAGCAUCUGCCUACAAUGCAGGAGACCCAGGUUCAAUCCCUGGGUAGAGAA
rnacentral:tRNA from 1 species